rnacentral:rRNA from 1 species
AGUGAACGCUGGCGGUAGGCCUAACACAUGCAAGUCGAACGGCAGCACAGUAAGAGCUUGCUCUUACGGGUGGCGAGUGGCGGACGGGUGAGGAAUACAUCGGAAUCUACUUUUUCGUGGGGGAUAACGUAGGGAAACUUACGCUAAUACAGCAUACGACCUACGGGUGAAAGCAGGGGAUCUUCGGACCUUGCGCGAUUGAAUGAGCCGAUGUCGGAUUAGCUAGUUGGCGGGGUAAAGACCCACCAAGGCGACGAUCCGUAGCUGGUCUGAGAGGAUGGUCGGCCACACUGGAACUGGGACACGGUCCAGGCUCCUACGGGAGGGAGCAGUGGGGAAUAUUGGACAGUGGGCGCAAGCCUUAUCCAGCCAUACCGCGUGGGUGGAGAAGGCCUUCGGGUUGUAAAGCCCUUUUGUUGGGAAAGAAAAGCAGCAGGUUAAUACCCCGCUGUUCCGACGGUACCCAAAGAAUAAGCACCGGCUAACUUCGUG